UACGUAGGGGGCUAGCGUUGUCCGGAAUCAUUGGGCGUAAAGCGCGUGUAGGCGGUCCGGUAAGUCCGCUGUGAAAGUCGAGGGCUCAACCCUCGAAUGCCGGUGGAUACUGUCGGGCUUGAGUACGGGAGAGGCGAGUGGAAUUCCUGGUGUAGCGGUGAAAUGCGCAGAUAUCAGGAGGAACACCGAUUGCGAAGGCAGCUCGCUGGAACGUUACUGACGCUGAGGCGCGAAAGCGUGGGUAGCAAACAGG
rnacentral:rRNA from 1 species